GCCCAGAGCCUGAAUCAGCAUGUGUGUUAGUGGAAGCGUCUGGAAAGGCGCGCGAUACAGGGUGACAGCCCCGUACACAAAAGCGCAUGUGCUGUGAGCUCGAUGAGUAGGGCGGGACACGUGAUAUCCUGUCUGAAUAUGGGGGGACCAUCCUCCAAGGCUAAAUACUCCUGACUGACCGAUAGUGAACCAGUACCGUGAGGGAAAGGCGAAAAGAACCCCGGCGAGGGGAGUGAAAAAGAACCUGAAACCGUGUACGUACAAGCAGUGGGAGCACCCUUUUGGGUGUGACUGCGUACCUUUUGUAUAAUGGGUCAGCGACUUAUAUUCUGUAGCAAGGUUAACCGAAUAGGGGAGCCGGAGGGAAACCGAGUCUUAACCGGGCGUUAAGUUGCAGGGUAUAGACCCGAAACCCGGUGAUCUAGCCAUGGGCAGGUUGAAGGUUGGGUAACACUAACUGGAGGACCGAACCGACUAAUGUUGAAAAAUUAGCGGAUGACCUGUGGCUGGGGGUGAAAGGCCAAUCAAACCGGGAGAUAGCUGGUUCUCCCCGAAAGCUAUUUAGGUAGCGCCUCGUGAAUUCAUCUCCGGGGGUAGAGCACUGUUUCGGCUAGGGGGCCAUCCCGGCUUACCAACCCGAUGCAAACUGCGAAUACCGGAGAAUGUUAUCACGGGAGACACACGGCGGGUGCUAACGUCCGUCGUGAAGAGGGAAACAACCCAGACCGCCAGCUAAGGUCCCAAAGUCAUGGUUAAGUGGGAAACGAUGUGGGAAGGCCCAGACAGCCAGGAUGUUGGCUUAGAAGCAGCCAUCAUUUAAAGAAAGCGUAAUAGCUCACUGGUCGAGUCGGCCUGCGCG
rnacentral:rRNA from 1 species